UACGUAGGGAGCAAGCGUUGUUCGGAUUUACUGGGCGUAAAGGGCGCGUAGGCGGCGUGUUAAGUCAGCUGUGAAAUCUCCAAGCUCAACUUGGAACGGCCAGCUGAUACUGAUGUGCUAGAGUGCAGAAGGGGCAAUCGGAAUUCUUGGUGUAGCGGUGAAAUGCGUAGAUAUCGGAAGGAACAUCAGUGGCGAAAGCGACUUCCUGGACCAAUACUGACGCUCAGGCACGAAAGCGUGGGGAGCAAACAGG
rnacentral:rRNA from 1 species